GGUUCAGUGGCGUAAUGGUAUCGCACUCUGAUUCUAUGUAGUUCACGGUAUGCUUUUACAGAGGGUUCGGAGUUCGAUUCUCCGCUGAGCCA